rnacentral:rRNA from 1 species
UCGUACCCGAAACCGACACAGGUGGUCAGGUCGAGUAGACCAAGGCGCUUGAGAGAACUCUGCUGAAGGAACUAGGCAAAAUGGUACCGUAACUUCGGGAGAAGGUACGCUGCCGACGGUGAUAGGAUUUACUCCUUGAGCUAUUGGCAGCCACAGAAACCAGGCCCCUGCAACUGUUUAUUAAAAACAUAGCACUCUGCAAACUCGCGAGAGGAAGUAUAGGGUGUGACGCCUGCCCGGUGCCGGAAGGUUAA